GACGAACGCUGGCGGCGUGCUUAAUACAUGCAAGUCGAACGGUGAAGCGCCUUCCUUUCUGGUGGGUGUGGAUGAGUGGCCAACGGGUGAGCAACACGUGAGUCACCUGCUCCCUUCCUCUGGACAACCGCAUGAAAGUGCGGCUAAUACGGGAUAUUCUGGGCCUCUUGCAUGAUGGGUCUGGGAAAGAUCUUGUUUCGGUGGGGGAUGGGCUCGCGGCCUAUUAGCUUGUUGGUGGGGUGAUGGCCUACCAAGGCGGUGAAGGGUAGCCGGCCUGGGGGGAUGGACGGUCACACUAGGGAUAAGAGGCGGACCCGCCUACUGCAGGAGGCAGCAGGGGAGAUUAUUGCACGAUGGGCGGAAGGAUGGUGCAGCGACGCGUCAGGAAGGAUGGUGGCCGUCGGGUUGUAAACCUCUUUCGCCGGAGAAGCAGUCCUACCGCGAUUGUGAGUGGGUUGACGGUAGCUAAAUAGGAAGCGCCGGCUAACUACGUG
rnacentral:rRNA from 1 species